AGAGUUUGAUCCUGGCUCAGGAUGAACGCUAGCUACAGGCUUAACACAUGCAAGUCGCGGGGCAGCAUGGUGAUUGCUUGCAAUUACUGAUGGCGACCGGCGCACGGGUGAGUAACGCGUAUCCAACCUACCCUUUACUACGGGAUAACCCGGCGAAAGUCGGCCUAAUACCGUAUGUAGUCCAUUGACGGCAUCCGAUUUGGACCAAAGGCUUAGCGGUAAAGGAUGGGGAUGCGUCCGAUUAGCUUGACGGCGGGGUAACGGCCCACCGUGGCAACGAUCGGUAGGGGUUCUGAGAGGAAGGUCCCCCACACUGGAACUGAGACACGGUCCAGACUCCUACGGGAGGCAGCAGUGAGGAAUAUUGGUCAAUGGGCGUAAGCCUGAACCAGCCAAGUAGCGUGCAGGAUGACGGCCCUAUGGGUUGUAAACUGCUUUUAUGCGGGGAUAAAAGAGCCCACGUGUGGGUUUUUGCAGGUACCGCAUGAAUAAGGACCGGCUAAUUCCGUGCCAGCAGCCGCGGUAAUACGGAAGGUCCAGGCGUUAUCCGGAUUUAUUGGGUUUAAAGGGAGCGUAGGCCGCCUCUUAAGCGUGUUGUGAAAUGCGGGUGCUCAACAUCCGACUUGCAGCGCGAACUGGGGGGCUUGAGUGCGCCGAAAGUAGGCGGAAUUCGUGGUGUAGCGGUGAAAUGCUUAGAUAUCACGAAGAACUCCGAUUGCGAAGGCAGCUUACUGUAGCGCAACUGACGCUGAUGCUCGAAAGCGUGGGUAUCGAACAGGAUUAGAUACCCUGGUAGUCCACGCGGUAAACGAUGGAUGCUCGUUGUUGGCCAUUUAGGUCAGUGACCAAGCGAAAGCGUUAAGCAUCCCACCUGGGGAGUACGCCGGCAACGGUGAAACUCAAAGGAAUUGAC
rnacentral:rRNA from 1 species